GCUGCAGUUAACGCAAUAAGUUCUCCGCCUGGGGAGUAUGCACGCAAGUGUGAAACUCAAAGGAAUUGACGGGGGCCCGCACAAGCGGUGGAGUAUGUGGUUUAAUUCGAAGCAACGCGAAGAACCUUACCAGGCCUUGACAUGGAUAUAAAUGUUCUAGAGAUAGAAAGAUAGCUAUAUAUCACACAGGUGGUGCAUGGUUGUCGUCAGCUCGUGUCGUGAGAUGUUGGGUUAAGUCCCGCAACGAGCGCAACCCUUGUCUUCUGUUACCAGCAUUAAGUUGGGGACUCAGGAGAGACUGCCGGUGACAAACCGGAGGAAGGUGGGGAUGACGUCAAAUCAUCAUGCCCCUUAUGGCCUGGGCUACACACGUACUACAAUGGCGCCUACAAAGAGCAGCGACACCGCGAGGUGGAGCGAAUCUCAUAAAGGGCGUCUCAGUUCGGAUUGAAGUCUGCAACUCGACUUCAUGAAGUCGGAAUCGCUAGUAAUCGCAGAUCAGCAUGCUGCGGUGAAUACGUUCUCGGGCCUUGUACUCACCGCCCGUC
rnacentral:rRNA from 1 species